GACGAACGCUGGCGGCGUGCCUAAUACAUGCAAGUAGAACGCUCAAGGAAGGAGCUUGCUCUUUCUGGAUGAGUUGCGAACGGGUGAGUAACGCGUAGGUAACCUGCCUGGUAGCGGGGGAUAACUAUUGGAAACGAUAGCUAAUACCGCAUAAAAUUGAUUAUUGCAUGAUAGUCAAUUAAAAGGUGCAACUGCACCACUACCAGAUGGACCUGCGUUGUAUUAGCUAGUUGGUGGGGUAACGGCUCACCAAGGCGACGAUACAUAACCGACCUGAGAGGGGUAACGGCCACACUGGGAACUGGAACCGGGCCAGACCCCUACGGGGGGGAGCAGUAAGGGAAUUUUGGGAAUUGACGGAAGUCCUGCCGGGGAACGGCGGGGGAGUGAAGAAAGGUCUCGGAUCGGAAAGAUUCUUUGUAUGGGAAGAAAGAGAGGGGUAGUUGAAAGUGCACGUUGUGACGGUACCUAAUCAGAAAGCGACGGCUAACUACGUG
rnacentral:rRNA from 1 species